CAGCACAGGAGAGCUUGCUCUCUGGGUGGCGAGUGGCGGACGGGUGAGGAAUACAUCGGAAUCUACUCUGUCGUGGGGGAUAACGUAGGGAAACUUACGCUAAUACCGCAUACGACCUACGGGUGAAAGCAGGGGACCUUCGGGCCUUGCGCGAUUGAAUGAGCCGAUGUCGGAUUAGCUAGUUGGCGGGGUAAAGGCCCACCAAGGCGACGAUCCGUAGCUGGUCUGAGAGGAUGAUCAGCCACACUGGAACUGAGACACGGUCCAGACUCCUACGGGAGGCAGCAGUGGGGAAUAUUGGACAAUGGGCGCAAGCCUGAUCCAGCCAUACCGCGUGGGUGAAGAAGGCCUUCGGGUUGUAAAGCCCUUUUGUUGGGAAAGAAAUCCAGCUGGCUAAUACCCGGUUGGGAUGACGGUACCCAAAGAAUAAGCACCGGCUAACUUCGUGCCAGCAGCCGCGGUAAUACGAAGGGUGCAAGCGUUACUCGGAAUUACUGGGCGUAAAGCGUGCGUAGGUGGUCGUUUAAGUCCGUUGUGAAAGCCCUGGGCUCAACCUGGGAACUGCAGUGGAUACUGGGCGACUAGAAUGUGGUAGAGGGUAGCGGAAUUCCUGGUGUAGCAGUGAAAUGCGUAGAGAUCAGGAGGAACAUCCAUGGCGAAGGCAGCUACCUGGACCAACAUUGACACUGAGGCACGAAAGCGUGGGGAGCAAACAGGAUUAGAUACCCUGGUAGUCCACGCCCUAAACGAUGCGAACUGGAUGUUGGGGUGCAAUUUGGCACGCAGUAUCGAAGCUAACGCGUUAAGUUCGCCGCCUGGGGGAGUACGGUCGCAAGACUGAAACUCAAAAGGAAUUGACGGGGGGCCCGCACAAGCGGUGGGAGUAUGUGGUUUAAUUUCGAUGCAACGCGAAAAAACCUUACCUGGGCCUUGACAUGUUCGAGAAACUUUCCAGAAGAUGGGAUUGGGUGCCUUCCGGGAACUCCAAACACAGGUGCCUGCAUGGCUUGUCGUCAGCCUCCGGGUCCUGAGAAUGUUGGGGUUAAGUUCCCCGCAACCAA
rnacentral:rRNA from 1 species